rnacentral:tRNA from 1 species
GUUGGAUUAAAAUUAAUUUCUGGUGUAGAAGCUAGGAAGUUUAGGUCUGUUCGACC